GCGGUGAUUGCUCAGUUGGAAGAGCAUUAGACUGAAAAUCUGUAGGUCGUGUGUUCGAUCAUUACUCACCGUA